rnacentral:lncRNA from 1 species
AGUUCUAGACCCAGGGCGGGGUUGGGGGGCGGUGUCUCUCUAGGUCCCGGUGGAGCCUCUGGGGUGGGGUGCCUGUCUGUCAGCCCUCGUCUCCGCGGCGCCCCUUCGUCCCUCCCUCGAUCGGCCUCUCCGGCAGGGCCGCGGGGACUGAAGUGUCACUGGGGGUCAGUCGGCUGUGGCUCCCUUGGCCAAGCGGCAUCGCGGCUCCGACUCUGCCGCUCCGGGCCUCCUCGGGCUGACUUACCUCGGCGCGCGCCCGCAGGUGUGCGCGGGGCGGAGGGAGUUCUCGCCCAGCUUCUGGGGCUCCUUUCCCCGCUCGCUCCGCACCCGAGGAGCCGCGCCCCCGAGCCGGGCCCCAAGCAGGGGCGCUCGGGGCCGCCCCGCGGUCCCCGUGGCGGGUGUGGAGGGAGAGGGGUGGCGCCCCUCGCGCCGCCUGCAGGCGCGGGGGCGGCCGAGGCGCGCGGAGCCGGAGGCGGGGAGCGGCAGGCCCGGGGCCCGGGUCUCCGCCUCCCGGCCUCCCUCCGGGCUGCCCCCUCGGCGCGGCUCCUCCCCCGGCGCCCCGCCUCCGGGUCGGCUCCCUCGGCGCCGCGCCGCCACCGAGCCCCGAGCAGCCUGGCCGUCGCGGCCGCCGCGCCACCAAACUUUCCCCGGAGCCGGCGCCGAUUCCCUGGAGAACAGAAUGCCUCACUGCACCCUGGAUUCCUUCAACAGCGGGGGUUGAAGGUCAACAGCUGCAGAGGCACAAGGUUCAAUCUCCACGGAGGCAGACGGCAAAUGCUAUUGUGCAGUCCCUGGCAGAUGCUCUUGGCAAGCACCAAUUUGUAGUUGACAGGCAAGUACCAAUUUGUAGCUGACAAUAUGCUGUCUAGGUUUGUCAUAGCUUUCCUUCCAAGGAGCAGAUGUCUUUUAAUUUCAUGGGGGCAAUCACCAUCCGCAGGGAUUUUGGAGCCCAAGAAAAUAAAACGUUUCACUGCUUCCACUUUUUCUUCUUCUAUUUGCCAUGAAGUGAUGAGACUGGAUGCCAUGAUCUUAGUUUUUUGAAUGUUGAGUUUUAAGCCAGCUUUUUCACUCUUCUCUUUCACCCUCAUCAAAACGCUGCUUAGUUCCUCUUUGCUUUUUGUCAGUAGAGUGGUAUCAUCUGCAUAUCUGAGGUUGUUCACUAAGCGUAAUGCGUUCUAAGUCCAUGUGUGUUGUGGCAGAUGGCAACUUUUAUUUCUUUGUUAU